rnacentral:tRNA from 1 species
GGGAAGGUGGCUCAGUGGUAGAGUGCUUGCCUUGCAUGCAUAAGGCCCUGGGUUUCAUUCCUCAGCCCCA